AGCGUGUACACACUGCAGUCUGCUGUACUGGAAAUGACUUAUUUAUUCUACGUUCAUUCACAGCUUCUGUUUAUGGCAUAAUACCUUCUGAGAGUAGGCCAUUAUGACAACAAUGCCUCUGUUUCCUCCAGAUUCUUGGCUGUCACUAUCCUGACCUACCACCUGUGUCACAUCCCAUUAGGUUCUGUGGAUGAGGCAUGGUGCUUGGCACAGACUGACACAAGUUUGGGCAAACUUGGCAGAGCAGCCUAACCCAAAGCGAAAAACAGAAAUGAACCAAGAUACAACCUCUGUGGAAAACCCUACUGAACAAAAGCAACUCUGUGGAGUGUCCUCUCAGCUGCAAAUUGAGACAGAAUUGUGGGGCAAGCUUGGCCACUGAUGCAGUUUUGUCAUUUCAAGAACAUUGUAUAUAUGGAGUUAUAUAUGGACUCACACAGAUUCUGCAGCUUGCUACACAGAAAGCCAGAGACCGAGAGCCAAUGACUGAGACUAUGAGUAUUGCCAAGGAAGAAGGCUUUAAUCGGGUGCUGCAGCUGAAAAGAUGAGAGCUCAGCCUCAAAUCCAUCUCCCUGACCAACUAAAGCUAAGGAUUUAUAUAGCAGGGAAGAAGACAGGAACUAGGAAGGGGCAAGGAAGCGAUCCUGAUGAAUGAAGGGUCAGGCAUUUCAUUGUCUGGAUGUGGCGAUCUGCUCACACUGGUCACACCUGGGACUUCCAACAUGAAUGCUUUUGUCACGGAUGCUGCGCUGCUGCUGUUUCUGGUUCUUACUCUGCUUACACCAAGGAGACUGAUGUCCCUGCUAUAACCCCACUUCCGAUGCAGACAGCAAUUCCAAUGCAUUGCAGCUUUCAGGAUUUUCUCACUGUGUUUUUGCCUCUCCUUUUCUUUAAGACAUGAGCAUUUGUCUACGGGGAUGGCCUGAAGUGUAGUCUCCAUUACCCAGAGUCAUCUCACUCUCUGACCUUGACUCAUGAUCUGAGAACAAGUGCUCCCCUGCUUGUCUUCCUGAGGGGCAUCUGUCCCUCUUGCAAACAGAUUUCCUUUGGGCUCUGUCAUUUAGAAAUGCCCUUAUUUAUCUGAAUUAUAGUUCCAGUUCAGAACAUUUACAAAGGAACAGAUUGCUCCCAAUUUUAAAGCAGGUAAAUUCUAAAAGUUGGCAAGCCAGUCAUUUAGAAUUUGAGCCUCAUAUUCCAUAGGUAUGAAAUUAUACAUAAUGAAAAAGUUCCCAGGGCAGCCCACAAAAAGCCUACUUAUCCAAAAUAAAGCUAACCUGAGUUAAUUCA
rnacentral:lncRNA from 1 species